rnacentral:pre_miRNA from 1 species
UUGGUACUCCCUCCGUCCCAAAAUUCUUGUCUUAGAUUUGUCUAGAUAGGGAUGUAUCUAAUACUAAAAUGUGACUUGAUACAUCCGUAUCUAGACAAAUCUAAGACAAGAAUUUUGGGACGGAGGGAGUAUUUA